UACACAUGCAGUCGAGCGGUAACAGGGGAGCUUGCUCUUNNUGACGAGCGGCGGACGGGUGAGUAACGCGUAGGAAUCUGCCUAGUAGAGGGGGACAACAUGUGGAAACGCAUGCUAAUACCGCAUACGCCCUGAGGGGAAAGGAGGGGACUUUUCGGAGCCUUCCGCUAUUAGAUGAGCCUGCGUGAGAUUAGCUAGUUGGUAGGGUAAAGGCCUACCAAGGCGACGAUCUCUAACUGGUCUGAGAGGAUGACCAGUCACACUGGGACUGAGACACGGCCCAGACUCCUACGGGAGGCAGCAGUGGGGAAUAUUGGACAAUGGGCGGA
rnacentral:rRNA from 1 species